CUUUUAUUUUCAAGAAUAAGUUGGGGGUACAGAAAUGAAAAGGGGAAGUAGGGUUAAUGACAUAAUGCAUUUGGCAUACACAAGUAGACAAUCACAUAACAGUAUGUGCAUUACAGUACCUACAUCGUAAUAACGAAUCACUUGGAAAAUGGUGUACAACAUAAGAUGUAGAGUGUUUGUACCAGUGGGAGGGAAGGGGAACGGGAGGUGGGAGAGGUUCUCCAGCAGGAUACUUCACUAUUUAUUCAUUUAGUUGAUACUCUUGUGAACUCUAGCCCUUGUUUGUCAGGAACAUUCGUGGCUCGUCUGCUAUGUGGGAAUACCGUAGAGGUUAGCCACACAACUUCGUUUAAGGAC